UUAAUGACUGUCAGUGAAAUGGUAAAUGUGAUCUUGGUCCUCUCUCAUUAGGAAUCAGGGCAGAACCUUCAGUGGACCAGUAUGGGUUGAAGGGGGGUUCAAUAUGUCUGGCUGUUGCAGAACCUCCUGAGAUGAUCAAAGGACUUAAAUGGAUGAAGGACAGUGAUGUAAUAUUUGGAGACAAAGAGAUCUCUCCUAAAUACAAGGAGAAGAUCAUGUUACCAAACCAGUCAUGGAUGUCACAUCUCUCUUCAACACAAGUGUGGGACUCUGUGACGUCACAGUGAACUGUUCAGUUAAAGAUGGCUGGAUGUUGUCUGUCUGUGACAGCGGUCAGUGUACACUGUCACAACAGUCUCCGUCACUAACCGGUGGUAACAUGACCAUCUCCGUAUUGACUGGAAGGAUCCAAUGUACCAGCAGCAACCACGUCAGCACACAGACCAUCUCUCAACCCAUGGAGGACUGUAAGUACCAUUUAGCCUCCACCUUCACUGUAUACCUCCAUCACUGUUUAAUAACCUACUAAUAAUAUCAUAUGAAUUCAAGUUUAAUUCAUUGGUAUGAAGAA